rnacentral:misc_RNA from 1 species
GUUUGUAUCAAAAUUAAAUUUUUCGAUUGCGUGCAAGUUUCCUAUUAAAAGUCAAUUACUUAUGAGGUUGCAUUACAAAUUGUCAGUUAAAUUGUGUUUUAUAAAUGUUUUACGAAAAGAAAUUGAAAGGGCUGAACUUUACUAUAGUAAUUUUGGUCUAAUAUUGAUAGUAUGGGUCGGUCACUGAUCAGACACGAUCUCACCAUUGGAUUGGGGUUGGAAAAGCAACUCUUUCAGCUACAAUGGAUAAUUCAGGAGAUUAUUUACCGACCGG